UUUGGUAUUUUCUCUACCUAACACUAUUUACACAUGCAAAUUAGUAAUGAUUUGUGUGAAGCUGUAAAGACAAUGUAGCCUCUCUUAAAUGGGAAUGUUU
rfam:Atta colombica contig25721, whole genome shotgun sequence.